AACGUACGCUGGCGGCAUGCCUAACACAUGCAAGUCGAACGAAGGCUUCGGCCUUAGUGGCGCACGGGUGCGUAACGCGUGGGAAUCUGCCCUUUGCUUCGGAAUAACAGUUAGAAAUGACUGCUAAUACCGGAUGAUGUCGCAAGACCAAAGAUUUAUCGGCAAAGGAUGAGCCCGCGUAGGAUUAGCUAGUUGGUGGGGUAAAGGCCUACCAAGGCGACGAUCCUUAGCUGGUCUGAGAGGAUGAUCAGCCACACUGGGACUGAGACACGGCCCAGACUCCUACGGGAGGCAGCAGUGGGGAAUAUUGGACAAUGGGCGAAAGCCUGAUCCAGCAAUGCCGCGUGAGUGAUGAAGGCCUUAGGGUUGUAAAGCUCUUUUACCCGGGAUGAUAAUGACAGUACCGGGAGAAUAAGCUCCGGCUAACUCCGUG
rnacentral:rRNA from 1 species